rnacentral:rRNA from 1 species
UGGGGGAUAUUGCACAAUGGGCGAAAGCCUGAUGCAGCGACGCCGCGUGGGGUAUGAAGGCCUUCGGGUUGUAAACUUCUUUUGCUCUGAACAAGGCAUGCUAAUGGGUGUGUUGAGUGUAGGGGUUGAUUAGCGCCGGCUAACUACGUGCCAGCAGCCGCGGUAAUACGUAGGGCGCGGGCGUUGUCCGGAAUUAUUGGGCGUAAAGGGCGUGUAGGUGGCUGGUUGCGUCUGUCGUGAAAGCUCAUGGCUUAACUGUGGGUGUGCGGUGGGUAAGGGCGGGCUUGAGGGCAGAAGGGGAGGCUGGAAUUCCUGGGGUAGCGGUGGAAUGCGCAGAUAUCAGGAGGAAUACCGGUGGCGAAGGCGGGUCUCUGGGCUGUUACUGACACUGAGGAGCGAAAGCAUGGGGGGCGAACAGG